rnacentral:lncRNA from 1 species
GAUGCCGAGUCCCGGGCUUCCCCGAACUUGGCUCUCCAGGCUGCAAUCGAUGGAGGCCGGUCUUGCUUAUCUCCCCUCAUGGCCGAUCAAGGAGGCGAACAGUGUCAAUCUGUCAUCGACACCUCAGGGUAUGGCCGCCACAUCUGGUAAAAAAUUUCACAACAGUACUAUGAUUGAUUGAAUGACAAGAAUGCUUCUAUUUCGUCAGUUUAAUUUAGUCCUUGGGCUAUUCUUGGAGAACACACACUCCAUGGUCCAGACUUGUGACUGUACUUAAGUAGAAGAUGGAAUUAUUCUAUGAUCUCUUCAUGGUUGAUCAUCGGGUUGCAAGUGAAAUUUGUGUAUGGACUGUGGAGCGUCAGUAUCAUAGUCAUGAGUCGUCAGGCUUCAGUCAUGUGUACUUGGUUAGACAUAUAUGAAGCGUAAGGGACUAGCUCAUUCACACUUGCGAUUCAGUAAUGUUCUUACAAUCAUUUAUUUAUGAUCUGCAGGUCUAAAAAACAAGCACCGGGUCCUUCUCCUCCAUGAAUCAGAUGUCAACGAGGCAACACGAAUCUGCAUGAGGCUGAACAUGAAAGAAACAAAAUGGAGACAACUCGACGAGUUUAGGAACAACAUGUAAUCGACGAUGAGCACUUUUCCAGUCAGGGAAAGGAUUUUUUAUGCCGCGCUAGGACUUUUCGUGGGAGGCCAUCUGAAACACGGUAUAAUGCAAAGGCAUUAGAAUUUCUAGCAGAAAUUGGACAGCAUAACGGAUGUAAAUGCUCAAAAAAGAUUUUGAGACACUUUGCAAAGGAUUGCAUAGACACUCAACAACAUCAUAUCAAGAUUCUGGGUCCAUCUUAUCAACGUAACGGGGUAGUAGAAUUGAACUAGGCUUGUAU